AGAAUGGAGCUGGAAGAAGUCCACUUCCUGUGACAUUUCUCAAUCUUGGCUUCAGAACAGAGUCACCAUGCCUCGGGUUCCCAGAGGCAUCGAAGGUCUCUGCAUUUGCACACCCUCUGACUGUGUCUCAGUUCUUAGAGAAGCCUUACAGGCCACGUGACAAGAGGAGAGAGGCUGCCUAGUGUCACUUCUGUGGCCUGCCAUCAAAUGCAGCAAUGCAGAAACCUCAGGACUUCAGGAUGCAACCAGUCAUACCAAGUUUCUCUGCCGUCUGCACCAUCACUGGUUGCCUGUGGUAUUCUUGUCCACAGAAGAAGGCAUCAGUUUGCUUUUCAUGUAUCCAAUUCUACCCCUGGAUAUUUUUGUCCCCUUUAGUUGUCACGAGUUUCAGGACAAAUGCUGCAGAAAACUAACUUUUAAAUGCAUCACACUGACAGUUGACAGACACCAAACAGAACAGGCUACCCAAGUAACAUCCCAAAACCGACAGCACACC